GGGGAUGUGGCUCAGUGGUAGAGCGUCCGCUUUGCAUACUCUGUAUGAAGUUGCGGAAGGCCCAGGUUUCGAUCACCUGCUUCUCCA